rnacentral:lncRNA from 1 species
CUGUUAAUCGAUCAUUAAGUCGGUUACAGGCCGAGCCCCACUGGGUGGAUAGCAGCCAUGGAAGGUAUAUUAAUUUUAGUCGGGAUGGUGCCGACCUAGGACAACCAACCUUUAAUUGGCUGGAUGUCAGCGACGGCGCCUAACGUCUAUCCUAUCGGAGGAGAACUUUAUAUAUCCGAGCCGGAUUGAGUAUCGGUUAGUCAGUGCAGUUUUCUUAAUCGGUCCA